UGAGGAAUAUUGGUCAAUGGGCGGGAGCCUGAACCAGCCAAGCCGCGUGAGGGAGGAAGGCCCUAUGGGUCGUAAACCUCUUUUGUCAGGGAACAAAAGCGAGUAUGUAUACUAGUCUGAGUGUACCUGAAGAAAAAGCAUCGGCUAACUCCGUGCCAGCAGCCGCGGUAAUACGGAGGAUGCGAGCGUUAUCCGGAUUUAUUGGGUUUAAAGGGUGCGUAGGCGGCGGUGCAAGUCAGCGGUAAAAGCCCGGGGGCUCAACCCCGGCGAGCCGUUGAAACUGCAGUGCUAGAGAAGGCGAGAGUACGCGGAAUGCGCAGUGUAGCGGUGAAAUGCUUAGAUAUUGCGCAGAACUCCGAUUGCGAAGGCAGCGUACUGGCGCCUGACUGACGCUGAGGCACGAAAGCGUGGGGAUCGAACAGGAUUAGAUACC
rnacentral:rRNA from 1 species